GAUGAACGCUGGCGGCGUGCCUAAUACAUGCAAGUCGAGCGAACAGACGAGGAGCUUGCUCCUCUGACGUUAGCGGCGGACGGGUGAGUAACACGUGGAUAACCUACCUAUAAGACUGGGAUAACUUCGUGAAACCGGAGCUAAUACCGGAUAAUAUAUUGAACCGCAUGGUUCAAUAGUGAAAGACGGUUUUGCUGUCACUUUUAGAUGGAUCCGCGCCGCAUUAGCUAGUUGGUAAGGUAACGGCUUACCAAGGCAACGAUGCGUAGCCGACCUGAGAGGGUGAUCGGCCACACUGGAACUGAGACACGGUCCAGACUCCUACGGGAGGCCGCAGUAGGGAAUCUUCCGCGAUGGGCGAAAGCCUGACGGAGCAACGCCGCGUGAGUGAUGAAGGUCUUCGGAUCGUAAAACUCUGUUAUUAGGGAAGAACAAAUGUGUAAGUAACUAUGCACGUCUUGACGGUACCUAAUCAGAAAGCCACGGCUAACUACGUG
rnacentral:rRNA from 1 species